rnacentral:misc_RNA from 1 species
AAGUCGUAACAAGGUUUCCGUAGGUGAACCUGCGGAAGGAUCAUUCACAAUUUUUUUUCGCUUUCGAAAGGGAGCGGAAAGGAUUGGAUUCACCCAGUCUAUUGCAACGAUUCCUGGGUUAACAAAGAAUGGACGUUUAUUCAAAGAAUAAUUCAAACAAUACCAAUUGAUUUAUUGAAAAGGAUGAAAAGCUUUCGCUUUUCAUCCUUUUAAACAACUUUAAGCAAUGGAUCUCUUGGCUCUC